AGUGACAGUUCAACUUUCAUGCGGGGAGGAUGUGCGCCGAUGAUGGAAUCUGCCAGGAGACUCUACUAUGGUGUAGUUGCUCUGUGUGCAGCAAAAAAGAAACUUUUGAGGAGGAAGAAACGUAGAGCCUUGUGGUGUAAGCAAUGGCUUUCUCGGCGACAUCUGAAGGGAAGCUUCAAUCAAAUAUUUAUGGAGCUACAGGUCGAAAAUCCAACAGACUUCGAAAAUUACACAAGAAUGCCAAUCCCUGCAUUCUAUAAAUUGCUGACAAAAAUUUAACCCUACAUUUGUAAGCAGGACACCAGCUUUCGGGACAGCAUAUCACCAGGAGCUCGUCUGGAGGCUACACUACGCUUUCUUGCAGCUGGAGGAUCGUACACAAGCCUCCAGUAUUCAACCAGGAUUUCAAAACAGAGCCUCGGUCUAAUCAUCCCCGAAACCUGUGAAGCCAUCUAUAAUGUCCUUAGGGAGGAUUAUUUGAAGAUGCCAUCAACUCCUGCUGAAUGGAAGGCAGUGGCGAAACAGUUUGAGAAGUGGAAUUUUCCUCACUGUCUUGGAGCGGUGGAUGGAAAACACAUCGCUAUAUGGCCUCCAAAAGAGAGUGGAUCCUACUACUUUAAUUAUAAGGGUUCACACAGUAUAGUUCUCAUGGCUGUAGUGAACGCUAACUAUGAAUUUAUGUAUGUACUCGUAGAUGUGGGGGCAAAUGGAAGAAUUUCAGAUGGAGGUGUGUGGGCAAACUCAACUCUGUGCACGCGGCUGCAGAGCGGAGCAAUGGGAGUUCCCCCAGAUGAACAGCUGAGUGACAGCUAAAGAACCCUGCCAUACGUCUUUGUAGGUGACGAUGCCCUCCCACUCAAGAGAUACUUCAUGAAACCUUAUCCCUUUAAACAUCAAAAUAAUGAACAAAGAAUUUUCUCCUACAGGCUAUCAAGAGCAAGGCGUGUUGUUGAGAAUGCAUUUGGCAUUAUGUCAAAUAAGUUUCGCAUUCUCCUGAGUGCAAUAAAUUUGAGCCCUCAGAAGGUAGAGAAAAUUGUUUUUGCCUGCACAGCCCUGCACAAUUUCUUGCGCAGGGAACAUGAAUCAUUCUAUACACCUGUUGGUAGUUUGGACAACGAGAAUGUUGUGGAUGGAGUGGUAACACCCGGGGCAUGGCGUGAUGAUAGGCAGCUUCUGCCUUUGGAGAGACUACUGAGGCAUCCCAAAAAUGAGGCAAAAGCCGUCAGGAACGAGUUCAUGGAGUAUUUUAAUGAGGAAGGAGCUGUUCCAUGGCAACAACGUAUGUGCGGCAUAUGCUAGAGAGAGAGAGAGAGAGAGAGAGAGAGAGAGAGAGAGAGAGAGAGAGAGAGAGAGAGAGAGAGAGAGAGUGAGUGAGAGAGAGAGAGAGAGAGAGAGAGAGAGAGAGAGAGAGAGAGAGAGAGAGAGAGAGAGAGAGAGAGAGAGAGAGAGAGAGAAAAUAUUUUUU